CAGCCGCCGCGGAAUACAGAGGGUGCGAGCGUUAAUCGGAUUUACUGGGCGUAAAGCGUGCGUAGGCGGCUUUUUAAGUCGGAUGUGAAAUCCCUGAGCUUAACUUAGGAAUUGCAUUCGAUACUGGGAAGCUAGAGUAUGGGAGAGGAUGGUAGAAUUCCAGGUGUAGCGGUGAAAUGCGUAGAGAUCUGGAGGAAUACCGAUGGCGAAGGCAGCCAUCUGGCCUAAUACUGACGCUGAGGUACGAAAGCAUGGGGAGCAAACAGGAUUAGAUACCCGCGUAGUCCCUGUCUCUUAUACA
rnacentral:rRNA from 1 species